ACGGGGCGCAGCAGGCGCGAAAACUUUACAAUGCGGGCAACCGUGAUAAGGAAACCCCGAGUGCCACCACAGGGUGGCUGUCCACCGGUUUAAACAACUGGUGAAGAAAGGGCCGGGCAAGACCGGUGCCAGCCGCCGCGGUAAUACCGGCGGCUCGAGUGGUGGCCGCUUUUACUGGGCUUAAAGGGUCCGUAGCUGGAUCUGUGUGUCCCUUGAGAAAUCUAUCGGCUCAACUGAUAGGCGUUCAGGGGAAACUGCAGUUCUAGGGACCGGGAGAGGUGAGAGGUACUGCCGGGGUAGGAGUGAAAUCCUGUAAUCC
rnacentral:rRNA from 1 species